rnacentral:lncRNA from 1 species
GUUUGCUAUUACUGUGGACGCGAGGAAAGAACUACUAAAAGAUCAACAUCUCAACGAUGAUAAAACUUCUAUUGAGGAAAAUGGGCCAAAAUCUAUUUUAAACCGUCUCAACGAUGAGAAGUUCGAUCCCAAACGUCCCGAGUUGUUUGGUUAUCAUUACGACGACGAUGAUAAAAAAGACAAGGCAUCAUCAUUUGAGAAGUUCGAUUCCAAACGUCCUGAGUUUUUUGGUUAUCAUUACGACGACAAUGAUAAAAAAGACAAGUCAACGUCAUUUGAGAAGUUCGAUCCCAAACGUCCUGAGUUCCUUCACUAUGGUUACAACGAUGAUGAUAAAAAAGACAAGUCAACGUCAUUUGAGAAGUUCGAUCCCAAACGUCCUGAGUUCCUUCACUAUGGUUACAACGAUGAUGAUAAAAAAGACAAGUCAACGUCAUUUGAGAAGUUCGAUCCUAAACGUCCUGAGUUCUUUCACUAUGGUUACAAUGAUGAUGAUAAAAAAGACAAGUCAACGUCAUUUGAGAAGUUCGAUCCUAAACGUCCUGAGUUCUUUCACUAUGGUUACAAUGAUGAUGAUAAAAAAGACAAGUCAACGUCAUUUGAGAAGUUCGAUCCUAAACGUCCUGAGUUCCUUCACUAUGGUUACAACGAUGAUGAUAAACAAGACAAGUCAACAUCAUUUGAGAAGUUCGAUCCUAAACGUCCUGAGUUCCUUCACUAUAGUUACAACGACGAUGAUAAAAAAGAUAAGUCAACGUCAUUUGAGAAGUUCGAUCCUAAACGUCCUGAGUUCCUUCACUAUGGUUACAACGAUGAUGAUAACACUGACAAAUUAUCAUCUGUUCAAAAUUUUGAGCGUUGGGUUCCUCUUCCAUCAUUUCAUUAUACUUACAGCGACGAUGAUAACACAGAGAAAUCAUCGUCAUUUGAGAAAUUUGAUCCCAAACAUAAGAACUUGCUUCACUAUCACUACAACGACAACAAAGAAAAAUCAUCACCGCUCGAGCAUAAUAAGCCGUCGUCUCUUAUUGAAGAGAUCCCAGGCGGCAACAAUGAUCAUAAGGAGACCAUGUAAAUUAGGCAUCCAGAGGAGCAUAUGGGUUUUAAUGAAAUUGUAUAAUGUUUUAUGUAUUUAAACGUUAUGUCCUCUAUGUAUGGGAGUGCUUACUUAUUAAAGAAAAAUAAAAAUGGCGUCGCCAUAUAUGAUAAUUGAAUAAAAGUAACACUUCAUUUCCUUCCUCUUUUCUCAAGCAAUUUAGUUUUCUUUAUCUAUUGUCUUUGUUCGUAGCUAAACACACAAGGUUGCCAAUUUAGUCGGAUUAUGAUAAAAUAUAUGUAUUAUUAUAUAUAUUUAACUUUAAAAAUAAUAAUUAACGAUAUGUGUAAAGGAGAACAUCAAAAUCCUAGCAACUUUCUCUCUCUUUUUUUUUUCCAUUGCAAUCGUUUUCUUCUUUCUCCAUCAAAAGCCAAGAAUCAAGCAUGUAGGUUUAUAUAUAUAUAUAUAUAAACCUGUAACUUACAUUAUUUUAAUGACAUUGUAGAUUUAUACAUUGAAUAGUAUUACUGAUUUAUUUAGUAGAAUCAAUAGUGUAAUUUUCCUUUGAAUUCUAGAAUAUAAAUAUAUUUUUCUUUUUCCUAGUAAGUGCAUUCUUGUGCUUAUAAUUUUUUUUAGCAUUAAAUAUUUUGUUUUUUAAAAGCCUAUAAAUCCUGAUCUCAAAACAGGUAAUUUUUCGUGUUAAUAUCAUAUUUUUUAAUGAAAAAUCCUUACCAUUUAUCAAAUCUCAUGUAAUUAUUGCCUUUUGGUUUGUGGUUGUGGUUUAUAUGUAAUUUCUUAAGUACUUUGGAUAUGUUCGGACAAAAUUUGUUGUUUUGAUAGCUAUUUAUUAUUUGAAUAAUAUUUAAUGGUCAGUUGUUUUAGUAGUUUUUCAUAAAAUGAUAAAAGUUAAACGUUACAUGAGUUAACUUUUUAAAUAUUAAAUUAUAUAACGAGAUUGAAUUAUUUGAAAGUACAUGAAAUAUACAUAAUAUAAAUGGUUCAAGUAAAACUUUAAUUACAAGUAAAUUAGAAUCUCAAAAUUUAUAAAUUAAAUAAUAAAAAUAAUUAUUUUAUAUAGAUAUAUAUUUCUUUUAAUUAAGAAACUUGAAAAAAUAUAUUAAGUACAAAUUAUAAAUUCAAAUUUAUAAAUUAGAGGUUAUAAAUUCAUGAUAUAUGAACCUUUAUAUUACAUAGUUGUAAACCAAACAAAUUUUAUUCAAAAGCUAUAUAAGUAUAGAAUAUGUUUAUUUUUGAACAAAGUAAAACAGAAUUUAUAAUGAAAAUAAGAUUGAUCAAAUUUAAAUUUAAAGAUUAAUUAGUUUUAAAAUAAUUAUUUUAUAUAUAUGGACCAGUGUAAUUUAAUAUUUUAAAAAUUAAAUAAAUAUUUUUAUGACCAAAUAUAUAAUGUGGAUUAUUUAAAAAAAUAAAUGAAUUUAAAAUAAUUAAGACUAGCUAAACUACAAAUUAGAAGUCACAAGAUACGAUAUAUAUAAUUUAAUAUAUAUAAUUCGAUAUUAUAAAAGGGGAGAAAUUUAUAAGUCUAGCAUUUAUAUAUAUAUAAUAUAAUUUCAAUUGCAUAGGUACAUAAUAAAUUUUUUAACACUAAGAUAAUAAAAUUUUAUAGUUAUUUAUUCAAAGUUUAAAUAAUUUAUUUUGAUUAAAUAUAUUUGAAAUAUUGGAUAAUUAUUUAUCUGUGAAUUUUUUUUAUGUUUGUGUUGAAAAUAGUUUUUUUUUUUAAUUUACACAAUUAAAUAGUUUUUUAUUUUUAAUAAUAUUAAAUAAAUAUUAAAUAAAAAAUAAAUAUUAAAUAAAUAUUAAAUUUUUAAUAAUAAAUAAUAGUUUUUUUGAUAACCAAUUCUAUAGAUAACAAAUCAUUUGCUAAAAGCUCCGCCGAUCAGACCAUCUCACAUCACCGACAACGCCUCUACAGGGGCUUCAUCCACACUAUCAUCAUCACUUAUAGUUAUCAUCCUUUGAAUCAAUAAUGUAAUUUUCCUUUGAGUUCUAGAAUAUAAAUAUAUUUUUCUUUUUCCCAGUAAGUGCAUUCUUGUGCUUAUAAUUUUUUUUAGCAUUAAAUAUUUAGUUUUUUAAAAGCCUAUAAAUCCUGAUAUCGAAAAAGGUAAUUUUUCGUGUUAAUAUCAUAUUUUUUUAAUGAAAAAUCCUUACCAUCGAUCAAAUCUCAUGUAAUUGUUGUCUUUUGGUUUGUGGUUGUGGUUUAUAUGUAAUUUUUUAAGUACUUUGGAUGUGUUCGUCAAGAUUAGUUGUUUUAGCAGCUGUUAACUGUUUGAAUGACAUUUAAUGUUUAGUUGUUUUAGUAGCUUUUCAUAAAAUAGUAAAAGUUAAACUUUAUAUGAGUUAACUUUUUAUAAAUUGCUGGCUUAAUCUCUAUAAGUUAGUUCAAAAGUUAUAUUACCGAACACUAUAAAAAAAUACGUUUAACAUUUUGACCAAUCAAAAUAUUAAAAGCUACUUAAAAAACUAUUACCGAACACGACCUUUGACUUGUAGUUUUUUUGCAAGUGGUUGCUAAGCCUCAACUUGUUGUUACUGAAUUAAGAAUUUAUGUCAAGAGUUUAUUAGAAAUAUGUAGGACUUAUGAAUAUAAUAUUCCUUUAAAUUUUCACUAUUUUGACUUUUUUUAACCUGUUUCAAAGUUACUAGUUAAAUGAUGAUUGUUUAAAUAAAAUUUUAUUUAAAUAUUAUGAUUAAUAAAAUAAUUAACUGUGCCAAUCAGAUAUAAUUUUAUUAAUUUUUUUCAUUUAUAUGAAGAGUGAGAGAUCUAGAGUUCGAGUCCUCUUGAUCACAAAGUUUUCACCAAUUUAGUGAAUUAAAGAGAACUUUAUUCAUAUUGUGUAGCGCAUGGUAUUAUUUAAGCCAUUUUGGCCUUCUACUGGAUAAAAAAAAUUCACUGUAAGCAGCAAAAACUGUAAAUAAUUGCUUAUACCCAUUUCGACUACUCAUCCAACUACCCAUUUACCAACUAUCAGAAUCACAUGGUUGGUAGCCUAUUAUUGAUAACCAAAUAACUAUAUAUCCAUCUGCCACUGUCAAUCAUCACAAAUAACUAAACCAGAAUGAUUUUUAAAUGAUUAUCCAUGGUGUGUCUCCCUAAAGACAAGAAAAGGAAAAGGAAAACAUUGGACCACACCUAUGUAAGGAUGAAGGAAGGGUGUGAGGAGUGUCUCAAGUUCCUUUAACCAUAAUUUUCUUUUAUAUUUAUCUUCUAAAAUAUUGAAGAUUUUUAAUUUUGCUCCUUAAAUUUCAAGUUUUUUGCCGUACCGGCCCCAUUAUUACACGUGUAAAAUCUAAUUAUACUUUAUAUUUAGAUAAACUAUAGUUUUGGCCUUAAACUUUUCGAGUUGUUCCAAUUUCACUCUAAAUUAACUUUUAUUUUGCUGAAUUUUGCAUAUGUUAUUUAAUUGUAUCCAUAGUUUUAAAAUUGGACUUAAUUGAAAGAGACUAAAGAAAAAAUAUGAGAUCCACAUAUUUUCUGUGGGUUAAGGUAAUCCAAUAUUGUUUAACUAGCGAAAAAUGCAUUACUCUGUAUAAGGAUAAGACUUGCUCACACUCAAUAUGUAUGGGUGGUUCUAUAGACGAAACCAAUAAAAAAGAUUGUUUUUAAAAACUCUUACGCUCUAUCCUUUUUGUUUGUAUGAUAAAAAAUGCUUUCAUUUGAAACAAAUCACUUUUUGUGAUUAGUUUGUAAAUGAGUGAGUUCAUUCACUGACAUUGAGUGCAGGUAAGUCUUUCCUUUGUAUAAAGGGAAGAAAAAAAAGACAAAACAAACUUCAAAAUCAUUUAGAUUAUGUGGUAUGCUUCUAUAUUAAAGUGAAUUAUUAUUCAAAUAUGUGAAAAGUGAGAAGUCUGGAGUUCUAAUCCACUCGAUCAUAAAAACUUUCACUAACUUGGAGAAUUAAGGAAAGAAUUACUCUUAUUGUGUAGCCUAUUAAAUUAUUUUUGGCUCGUCUAAUUACUUCAUUAUGGUUACAAUUUGAAAACUUCGGAGGCAAGACCAAAUCCAUCUAAGUGGCCCUAAUUUCUUUCUUUCCUAUUCAAUUAUAAGAAUGUCUUUCAACUUUUAUAUUCACCCUACAAUAUCUUCUUCCCGCACGAGGAUAAAGAACAAAAGGAUAGUGUGAAAUACGUUGAAUUUUUAGAAUCUAAUGGGGUCUUCCCUAAAAAAAUGAUUUUAGAUUCCAUGGCACGCUGAGUGAAUUAUUAUUGGAAACACGAAGUUGUCAAGAUUCCGUGGCUUUGUUUUGCUGUUUUUGUUUUUUCUAAAUAAAUUAGAAUAUUAAUUUAUUUUUACAUGAAAUAAUAAAAACAAAAUGAUUGAAUAUAAAUUAACAAAUAGAGUAAAAGCCUUAACACCUAUAAAAUAAUAAUUGAGGAAAAUUAAUAAAAUUUAGUAAAAAACCGAUCAUAAUUGAAAUUUUGAUAUUUUAGUUGUGUUAGGCAACAGUUUUUUUGAGUAGCUUUUAACAUUUCGACUGGUUAUAACACUAAAUACUAUUUUGUAUAAUCUGAUUUCUGUAAUGACAUUAGCGCCAUUAAUAAACUAAUUGUUUCUUUUGUUACCUAUGGAUUUUAAUAUUGGAACUUUAUAGUAUGUUGCUACUUUACGAGAACAAUUGGAACAACUGGCUGAAGAGAGAACUCUAGAUGGCUUACCUAGGUAUGCGUGCUUUCUUUUAUAUCUUCUCUUAAAUUUGUUUUGAAUUGUAAUUGAACUUUGAAAAACUUUAAUCAAAUUUUCAUGGAUAACCAAUAUUGGAACUUUUUGUAAAUGUCCUUUUCAAGGAAAAUUGACUUGUUAAUAAUACAUCUAAGUUCUUUGAUUGUGAGCCAGAUUUCUCUUCCCCUUUGCAUUUGAGUUGGCCUUUUCUGUUCGGUAGCCAUUAUCAAUCCAAUAAAUCAAAUGUGGCUGGAGUUGUAUUUUAUGUAACAAUCUCUAAGAUUUAAAUGCAGUGCUACUUUUAACUUCUCUUUGAAUACAUUUCAACAGAGUUUCAAAGGCUAAGGUCAAUGAUUAUUCAGAAAAGAUUGAAGCCAUUGCUUCCAGAUUAGCUGCCCCAUUGGUGCGUUGCAUUGGAUACUUUUAAAUUAUUAAUGUGAUUGUGAACUUUAGCAACACUUCUAAAAUUAGUUGCACUAGCAGAUAUUUGAACAUAGUUCGAAGAGUAAGUUUUCUUCUUUUCAUUUCCUCCCUCAAGGGACUAAAAACUGUUGAAAUGCCAUUGCCAUUAUAAUGUGGUAGAGCUUCAAUAACUGUGAUGUAAACAGACUGAAGAUACGGGGUUAUGUUUCUGUAGAAGAAAACAUAAGAGCAAAUCUUGACCGAUUUCACUUUUGUUGAAAAGACUGUACAUAGGAUUUUGAUAUUACUGUCCACAAAUUAAUUCUUUUUUUUUUUAAUUAUCUCUUGAAUGAACUGUUCUUCUUCCCUCUCAGCUAAUAUGUUGACUUCAUGGAUUGCAAUACAUUCUCCUUGGUUUAAUUGCUUUUGUUGCCUGUUCUACUUCUUCUAACUGUUCCCCCCUUUGGUUACAGUGACUAAGCGUACUGAUUACAACUUAAAAGCAUACUAUAUGUUGUUUGUGUCAUCUAACCAUGCAUGCAAUCUAUGAUGUUGCCUCAAUUUGUUUGUCCUAUUAAUUGUCAGUAUUGGCAGUGGUUGAUGUUGUAACAUCUAACCAUUUUUUAUGCGGCUAAUUCUCAGCCUCAGAUUCGGUAUCUGAAGAGCCUUUUGCUGAGAGUUCAAUGAGCGAAAGUCCUAAAGCAGAUGGAGAAACUCAGUUCCCUUCUUCUCCUGGCUUGAGAAGAAGACUUGUGUAAUGAAUCUCUAGUUGUUAGGAUUUAUGUGAUUCAUGCAAUUUCCCUUUUGGUGUUCAUUUCUUUUUCCUCCUUCUGUUUCUAUAUUUAUUUCAUUAUGAUUUUUGUUGUUCUUUGAACAGGGCAGCCCCAAAUUUUGAUGAUAGAACUCAUGAAAUCACUCAGGUUGAUACAUCAGCCCCUGUCAAACUGGAUGCUGCAGCAAAAACACACAUUGAAAAGCACAGGUACUUUUACUGUUUGAUUGGGGUACACCCAAUCAUGAUGUGAUAAUUUCAAAGAUUACAUAGUAAUCCACUCUUAGAUCUGUAAUCUAAGUUUUUCAAGUAAAAAUGUUGCAUUUAAUUCUACAUAAAACCCAGUGGAGUUCCACAUAAACUCAUACAGCCAUUGUUUGCUAAAGAUGCAUUGACUACAGACCAAGGAUGGUCCUCUUGAGGGCAUUGGGUGAUUAUUCAUGAUUCUAUUUGUAGAGGUGUGCAUCAGUGGAUUCGGUUUGACCGAAUUAACCAGUAAUCAAAAUAGGGGAAACUAAACCAAAUUGAAUUACAUAUAUGAAUCAAACAUUUUGGUUCAGUUUGGUUGGCUCCAUACUGAAUCCUUUUGUUCUUGUGUGUGUGUGUGUGUGUGUGUGUGUUGUUUGGUUUUUUUGGUUAAAAUGAUCAUCUGAAGACCGAAACAUGGUUAACAUGUUCAUCUGAUGACUGAAACAUGGUUAACAUGGUUGGCUCCAUACCAUGGUCAUCUGAUGACCGAACCAAAUAAGAGGCCCAAAUCUUUGCUAAUCGAAUCAAACCACAUAUUUCGGUUUGGUUAGUUGGUUAUUACCAACUAAUGCACACCCUUACUCCCCUAGCUAUUUUGGCAUUUCAAUGGGAUAAUGUGUACACCAUAAGCAAGAUAGUAGUGGAAUUUUGGUGUAACAUGGUGCCCUGCUUGGCAUCAGCCUAGUAUUGUUCAGAGAGCGGGACAGAACAAGUAUUUGAGCAAGAGGGGAACUGGGAUUGGAGUGGAAGGUAAGUCAGACACCAAAUUGAUCUUUAAUAUUUAUUAUGUUUCUUUCCCUACCGAGACGAAAGCCAAAGGUGAGUCUCGUAGGUGGACGUAUUGAACCGAAAAAAGAUCUCACUCCCCUGUCUCAACUCGCUUUCCAGGGAUAAGGUGAAAAUGAAAGGUUCAUUGCAAAUUGGAGUUUAUUGCAACAGGAUUUACAUAAAUAACAAUGCUUCAAUACAUUUAAAGUUUCUUAGUCCUCCUUCUUGACUGUUGCUUAUAGUACUAUAUUUAUAACGGUACAAUGUAGUUUCCUGAAAGUAAUAUGAUUAAUGAGUAAAAUUUUCAUGAUAUAGGCAGAGAUAUUCAAAAACAUAAUUUGUUCUGCAUAUUUUCUUGCUCCAAGUUCCAAAGAUUGAAUCUAGGACUACCUAGUUGCUUCAAAGAUCAUCAACUUCUGAUUAAACUUUUGUAUCCUAUUGCAGAAAGCUUCAAGAAGACCUGACAGAUGAAAUGGUUGGGUUGGCACAACAACUAAAAGAGAGUAGUCUCUUGAUGAGCCAGUCCUUGCAAAAUACUGAAAAGGUAAUGAUUUUUGGAACCAAAUGUAUUACCUUCUGAGGAGAUGUGCAAUUGUAGCUUUGGUGAGUGAUUCUGCAUGUUCUGGGGAGGCAGCAUUAGAGGAUCGCGUAAUCCAUUAUUCUUUGUGUACAAGUUAGCUAAUGAGUAUCUCUAACAUGGUAAUGAUUUAGAAACUACUAGGAUUGUGAAGAAGUGUCAUUUUCCUUCUGCCAUUAAUUGAUUGAUGUGAAGCGUCUGAGUUCUAUCUUAAAAUUGCUCAGAUUUGUAAAUGCUGUGAAGGAGAGGUUGGGAGUGGCAAUCAGAGAGAUAUCUAUAGCAGCAUUUUUCUGAAUUUAAUCUGUGGGAAUUGAUGUUCUAUUGAGGUCUUGUAUUUUGACAUACUAAUCACUCUAUUAAGCGAUGAAAGUUGCUAGGAUAUGAAAUUCUUCUUGAUUAAUGAUGAAUUGAAGAACAACUACUGAACCAUUUCUGUACUCAUGCAGUAAUCGAUAAGCUGCUAAUUGUGUUAAUUGACUUGGAAUGGGCCCUUAAGGAAUUAACAAGUACAGAUCUAUAAAAUUGUAAAAGCCAUAAGAGGACAGGCUUUUAUAAGAAAAAUCUACCCUGUAAUUUUUUUUUCCCUACCAAUGAUUGGAUGGUGGACUCACCGACAAAUGAGGUAAGGGAAAUUGAGAAGCAACUUUCUACUUCAACCUUUUUUCUUCUUGAUAUGGUAAACAACUUGCCUUGAGCUCAUAAUUUGUUUGUAUUUUUCAAUUUUCUUUGAAAUAAUGGCAGUAGCAACUAAAACUUCUAGUUGAUGAGUGUAUGCAUCAUGAAUUUCUACAUUACCACUUAUCAUGUGGAAAUUCAGAUUUCUGUUCAUUUACGUAUUAUAGAUACUUGAAUUUAAUACUUAUCAAAAUGUGAUUGCAAAGAUCAUGUAUAUCGAUCUGGGACUAUUUUUUAAACUGAUGCUCUUCUUGUACAUGUCAGAAAGUUUUUGCAUUCAAUGGCUGUAAAAAAAGAAAUACAUAAAUUUAUUAGAUGAAGCUAAAACAACAUAUAUGCAAGUUUUUAUUUCUAGUCUCAAAACCUAAAUGUUUGUUUUGGUGCAGAUACUCGAUUCUACAGAGAACGCUAUUGAGCAAAGCUUGGCAGGCACUGGCCGUGCCAAUGUCCGAGCCUUGGAGAUAUACUCGAAAAGUUCUAAAACUACAUGCUUCACUUGGCUUCUGAUUUUUCUAAUGACAUGUGUCUUCAUCAUGGUUGUACUCCUAAUUCGCGUCACUUAGAAGUUUCUUCAAGGUAAGCAAGUUUCGACAUGGUAAUGCUGCUGUCUUGCAAUGCGAGUCAAGUGUUUAACCAUUUGUUCAAAAUCAACUGGUUUUUUAUGAAAGUGGUGCCUAAUGAUUUAAUUUUUCUACCAGAAAUCAUUUUGUGACGAUACGGAGAUUAAUGACAAAUAAUAUGUAAUAUUUUCUUAUUCUGUGUUGUUUGAGGUUAUGUUGGGAUUUAUAUUUUAAUCGACGGACAACUGAUUCUGAAAUAAGUUUAACACUCAUAUUAUGAUUGUAUUUUUUUUUCUUUUUUCUUUUUUAAUAUAAUGUCUUUUAUUUUAUUUUGAAUUAAAAUAAAUAACUAGAAAACAUUACUAAACAAAAAUUAAUUAAUUAUUUUUAUUUAUAUACCAUAUUAAAAAAAAUGAUAGAUUCAUCUGAGAAAAUAAAAAGAAUAAUUUAGCUACCAACAACAAGAAUUUACUCUAGGGUGCUUGUUUUUUAAGAGAGGACCCAUAAGGAUAUUAAAGUGUAAAUAAUUAAAAUAUCAAUAAAAGUGGCAAAGUAUUUACUCUAGGGUCCUUGUUUUUUAAGGUAAUCAGUGGUAUUAUUAUUCUUGAAAAAAAAUAAAAAAAUAAAAACCUGGUAUUAUUAAAUGUAUAUUAUUGAAAAGAAAAAUAAAAACUUUUAUCAAUAAUGAGAAAAUUAUCUACCAAUGUAUGAGGAGUGGCACUCACCAACCCCAAUUCCUACCUACUCAUCCAUAGAAUUGGUAUUAUUGUUACUCUUAUCAUGCCCAAUCAUCCAUGCAAAAUUAUUACUUUUACACAUGCAUAAAUGCAAGAUUUUAUAAUUUAAAAAAAUGUUGAUCACUCAAUAUUUUUUUAUUAAUCAAAAGGCUCAAUUGAUCGAAUAACAUAAUGAUUAAGGGAUAAUUUUUCCAUUGACUUAUCGAAUUAUUAAAAACUAGUGCGAUCGGAAAAAUUCAAACUUAACAAUCAUAUUUUUUAUAUUAGUAAAAAGAUCAACCAAAUAAUAUAUGGUUAGCCUAAAGAGGUUUUUUUUUUUUUUUUUUUUUUUGCCCCUUUUAAAGAUAUUGGGCAGAAAAUAAUAAUCAGCGGAGAUUAUAGCAUUAUUUCAUGUAAUUAAUUAAUAUAGUAUAUAAAUAAAUAAAUAAAUAUUAAUUAAAUGUUUAUAAUAAUAUUUACUAGUUAUUUAUUGUUUUUAGAUAAUUAUAUAUGAUAAUGAUAACAUAAAAAUAGUAAUUGGAAAAUAAAAUUAUUAAUGAUUUAUUAUUGAGGUGAAUAUAGCCCUGGGGAAUUGAUUAAAAAAAAAAAGGAGUUGAAAAAGUAGUUAAUGAAGAUUUAACACAUAUAAAUUAAACGUAGAAUAAAUUUGCAUGAAACAAAUAAGCUAAAUAUCCCUCUAAUAAGGAAUUGAUAGCUGAUAAAGCUUACAUAAGUUUCAAUUUACUAUUGAUCUCAUCAACUGAAUUUAGGGCUUUUUCUUAUCAAUGUAUUAUAUUUUGACUAUAUUAAUUUUAUAAAAAAAUAUAUUAAUAAAUUAUUUUUUGAAAUUAAUAUUUUAGGAUAAUCUUAUUUAUAAAAAUUUUAAAUUAAAAUAAAUAAGUAGAAAAUAUUACUACACAAAAAUUAAAUAAUUAUUUUUAUUUAUAAACUAUCAUAAACAACUAUCAUAAACAAUUAAAUAAUUAAAUAAUGAUUACUAUUAUCAACUAUCAUAAACAACUAAAUCAACCAUUUUAUUUUUCAAAUAAUCGAUUUUUAAAUAAAAACAUGAAUAUGUAUAGUUGUGAGAUCUAUUUAGAUUCAAAUGAGUUUAAAAUUUAAAAAAAAAAAUUCAAAUGAUGAAUUAGCCUAAAUUAAAAUUUUUUUAAUGCAUUUAGAGCAAUAAAAAAUUAUAGAGUAUAUAUAUAUAUAUAUAUAUAUAUAUAUAUAUAUACAUGCGCACGCGCAUAAUUUUGAAAAGAGGCAUGACCAAAUCCAUCUAGGUGGCCUUAAUAUUUUUUUUCUAUUCAAUUAUAAGAAUAUCUCUCAAUUUUUAUAUUUAUCCUACACAUAUCUUAUCCUACACGAAAAAAAAAACGAGGAUAAUGUAAGAUAUGAAUUAUAAGAAUGUCACUCAACUUUUAUAUUGACCCAACACAUAUCUUGGUUCAUGUGGAGGGAAAAAAAAGAUAAUAUAAGAUAAGUAAAGAAUUAUUAGAAUCUAAUAGGGUCUUUUCUGAUAUUAAAAUAAAUAAAAAAACUUUGUGGGACGCUCCUAUAUUAAAGUGAAUUAUUAUUGGAAAUUCAAGAGAAAUUUAAUUAUUUGCACUGAUGGCUUUGAUUUUUUUUUUUUUCUUAACAAAAUUAACAAUUCUAUUCCAUGUAAUUCAACAAUACAUAUGAAAAAUACUUGUAAUGUUAAUAAUUGUACAUUAAAAUCAGUUGCACAUUGUUAAGCUUUAACUCAUAUUAUAAUUAUUGAAAUUAUUGAGAGAGAGAAAAUAGGAAAAAAAAGAUUGAUUAAUUUAUAUUAUAAAAUAAAAAUACUAUGAACUUUGCAUAUGGUUGGAAUUGCAUUUUAUUUUAAAUUUUAACUAUAAGGUGCAAUUAAUUAUUUUAGAGUAUAAUAACAUUUUGAAUUUUACGUAUUGUUGCAAUUACACCUUAUUUUUUCCCUAAAUUUUAAUUACAAAGCGUCAGUAAUUUCAAAAUGCUGUUACAUGAUAAUUGUUAAAAGGGUUAAAUAUUUUCGGUUCCCUAAAUUAUGGCCAAAAUAACACCUAGGAUCCUCAACGUUUGAGUAAUUAUCUUGAAUGACCUAAAUAAUGUUGUCGUUAUACUACGAGGCCCUGCCAUCCAAAUUCUUACCUUUUUCCAUUUACAUGGAUUGAAAAGCAAACAUUAAGUGGGGAGUUAAAUGUUUUGGGGUCCCUAAAUUAUGACCAAAUCAACACUUAAGUCCCUCUACGUUCGAGUAAUUAUUCGUUUUUCAGUUCAUAUAAACGCAAAAAAAGUAGAAAUUUAGAUGGAAAUUCCAUUCGACGUGCCUAUCUAAGAUUUUUCCUCUUUGUGCUUUUUCUCAUAUUUGCGGAUGCGCUUUACACCCUUUGUAGCUAAGAAUUUUUCGUAUUUUGUAAUAAACAAGAAAUAACAAAAAAAAAAAAAAAAAAUGAGUUGAGAAAUUUUCUUUUUACAAAAAUGCCCUUAUAUUGCUAAAGGUUUCUUUGACAUUGUGUGGCUAUAUAUAGCAGGCACUUCACCAUUAAAAAACCAAACAUUUCUUCUCCCCUUUACAACUAAAGAGAACCAUGAAGAGCUUCUCUAUUUUCUUUGUUCUUCUCCCUCUUCUCUUGGUGAGUGAACCAUUUCUUCAUACAUUAUUCUACUUAGCACCAACCCUAAAAUUCGAUUGAAAUUAAUGGCAAAGCUAUAUGUUGCAGUCUUUUUUUUUUUUUUUUUUUUUUAUUAAAGAAAUUAAUGCAGAUAUUAUUUUUUAUUAAUUAAAUGGCUAGCUUUGUUCCUAAUAUUAUUUAUACUUUCAGCGGAACUACAUAUAAUUUUUAGUGUGACAUUUUUUUCUCUCUAAUUUUUUCGUCUUAUUUCAAGAACAUGCUUUUUUUGAUUCUUUUAGUAGUUUGGCAAUAUAUAUGGACUCAAGCUCUAAUCUUUGUUCUUUUUUUCUUUAAUAGUUUGGUAUUACUGUGGACGCGAGGAAAGAACUACUAAAAGAUCAACAUCUCAACGAUGAUAAAACUUCUAUCGAGGAAAAUGGGCCAAAAUCUAUUUUAAACCAUCUCAACGAUGAGAAGUUCGAUCCCAAACGUCCCGAGUUGUUUGGUUAUCAUUACGACGACGAUGAUAAAAAAGACAAGGCAUCAUCAUUUGAGAAGUUCGAUUCCAAACGUCCUGAGUUUUUUGGUUAUCAUUACGACGACAAUGAUAAAAAAGACAAGUCAACGUCAUUUGAGAAGUUCGAUCCUAAACGUCCUGAGUUCCUUCACUAUGGUUACAACGAUGAUGAUAACACUGACAAAUUAUCAUCUGUUCAAAAUUUUGAGCGUUGGGUUCCUCUUCCAUCAUUUCAUUAUACUUACAGCGACGAUGAUAACACAGAGAAAUCAUCGUCAUUUGAGAAAUUUGAUCCCAAACAUAAGAACUUGCUUCACUAUCACUACAACGACAACAAAGAAAAAUCAUCACCGCUCGAGCAUAAUAAGCCGUCGUCUCUCUCUGAUGAGAUCUCAGGUGGCAACAAUGAUCAUAAGGAGACCAUGUAAAUUAGGCCUCCAGAGGAGCAUAUGGGUUUUAAUGAAAUUGUAUAAUGUUCUAUGUAUUUAAACGUUAUGUCCUCUAUGUAUGGGAGUGCUUACUUAUUAAAGAAAAAUAAAAAUGGCGUCGCCAUAUAUGAUAAUUGAAUAAAAGUAACACUUCAUUUCCUUCCUCUUUUCUCAAGCAAUUUAGUUUUCUUUAUCUAUUGUCUUUGUUCGUAGCUAAACACACAAGGUUGCCAAUUUAGUCGGAUUAUGAUAAAAUAUAUGUAUUAUUAUUUGAUGAGAAAUUUUUACUUAAUAUUUAAUAUUUAAUUUUAUA